rnacentral:rRNA from 1 species
UACGGAGGGUGCAAGCGUUAUCCGGAUUUAUUGGGUUUAAAGGGUCCGUAGGCGGACUUAUAAGUCAGUGGUGAAAGCCUGUCGCUUAACGAUAGAACUGCCAUUGAUACUGUAAGUCUUGAGUAUAUUUGAAGUAGCUGGAAUAAGUAGUGUAGCGGUGAAAUGCAUAGAUAUUACUUAGAACACCAAUUGCGAAGGCAGGUUACUAAGAUAUAACUGACGCUGAGGGACGAAAGCGUGGGGAGCGAACAGG